rnacentral:lncRNA from 1 species
CGGUGUCAGGUAGUGUGCAAGCGCCAGUGUAGAAGUACAGAUCAACAGGUGCCCUCUACCGGAGCAACCGUAGAUGUACGGGCAGCAUGCGAGCGCUGUUGCAGAUCAAAAGUUACAGCAGCGGCAAAGGCAACGAGAAGGUGCUCCUUUUUUUACUCUUCUCUGUCCUCUUCCUUCUAUUGUUUGUAGCGCCUCAUAUCCCCUACUUACAACAUUUUUCUGAAUUAAUUUCAAAUCUUGGAACCUUUUGUUCUAUUGUUGCUAUGUAUUUUUUAGGGAGGAGAAUCAGCUACCGUUCCUGAUGAUGCCCUGUAAUUAGUGGCAAAUAAAUUUUCUAUCCUUGAAGAUUUGUGUUGGUGUCUUUUUGGAUCAGGCUCUGGUAGUUCAUGUCCUCUUCUCGCCCUUCAAAAGUUUUGUUGUCUACUCCCUCCGUUCCUAAAUAAUUGUUUUUCUAGAGAUUUUAACAAGUGAGUACAUACGGAGCAAAAUGAAUGAAUCUACACUCUAAAACAUGUCUACAUACAUCCGUAUGUUGUAGUCCAUUUGAGGUGGCUAGAAAGACAAUUAUUUGGGAACGGAGGGAGUAAUUUUUAGCCCGGCCUCUGUUAGUUCAUGUUUUUUCUUUUUUCUUUCUUUACAGGUCCGGAGGUCCCUACGCCUUCAAAGUAUCUCCUGUCACAUGCUCACUCAAAUGAUUGUCCAUGGAGCCAGCAAGCGAAGAACUGGAGGAAGGCGAGGGUCACUUAGCUAGCCGCACCGGUUCCUAUUAUAUCCCCCCUGUCUUCUUCGUCUCUUGCUCUCUCUCUUUCCAGGAUGGUGGAGGGUGGACUGAGGGUGACAUUGAUUAUGUGGGUUUAGAUAUGCUAAAUUUAUUGAUUAGGAUCACAAAAGGUUUGUAAAUUUCCUUUAAUGUUUGGAUAAAAUUUCUUUUAAUGUAUUUGUUCUUUCCUUUUGUCUGGACAUAUGUUGAUUAAUUAAGAGGAAUGACAAGAAUAAUAUUCCGUCCAGAUUUUAGUGUGUGUGAUUUUGACUAAACUCACAACUACUGAACUUGGUUUCUUCAAAUACCUGUGUGAUUUUGGGAAAACCAUUCAUACUUUGGCCAUACAUGUUCCCUAUUGUAUUGCUUUAAUAUUUUAAACAUUCUUUGUUUCUAGGGAGGUGUGAAAUCAAUCAAAGUGACAACACAAUGUUUUCCGGAGAAUGAUUGUUUUGUUUAGUAAGUGUAACAUAUUAUAAUAUCAAUG